rnacentral:rRNA from 1 species
UACGGAGGGUGCAAGCGUUAUCCGGAUUCACUGGGUUUAAAGGGUGCGUAGGUGGUCAACUAAGUCGGACGUGAAAUCCCUCGGCUUAACCGGGGAACUGCGUCCGAUACUGGAUGACUUGAGUUCGGGAGAGGGAUGCGGAAUUCCAGGUGUAGCGGUGAAAUGCGUAGAUAUCUGGAGGAACACCGGUGGCGAAGGCGGCAUCCUGGACCGACACUGACGCUGAGGAGCGAAAGCCAGGGGAGCAAACGGG